GUAAAGAGUUAAAAAUACUAUAAGGGGUUUUGUAUAAAUGUACCCAUAAUAUUAAGUAUAAGUAUAGGCUUAAUGUGUAAUGAUUAGAUAAGUUGAAUGUUAUAAUUCUUGAGUGUCAAUUAAAGAGUUUACUCUUUCUUCUUCUUGUUUUGACCUAACGACUUCAUUCUCCCCCUUUCUUCUAUCUUCUUCUUCUAUCAAUUUCUUGUUGAUGAUUCAGUGAAUGGAAACCUCUCCAGAUUUCUACAUGGUAUCUAGAGCUUUGUGAUUCGAUUGGGGCAUCUGGGCGUUAGGGCACGGCGAGCGCGGAAUCUUCUCAGCGUGAUUUCUUCUCGGCGUGAAUUGGAGCGGUUCCUGUUCUGUUCUUUUCUUUUCUUCCCGGCUACAGCGCGUGGUCUUUCUCUUCUCUUCUCGGCUGGCGUGAAUUUCUGGUUCUUCUCUUCUCGGCUGGCGUGGUCUUUCUUCUCGGCUGGCGUGGUCUUUCUCUUCUCUUCUCGGCGGCGUGAAUUUCUGGGUCUUUUCUUCUCGGCUGGCGUGGUCUUUCUUCGGCUACAGCGUGGUUCUUCUCGCCGAUUGAUUGCAAUCUGCGAUUGCAACUCUGGUUUGAAUUUUUUAUUUUUUAUUUAUUUCAUUUUUCUGUUAUCUGCAAUUGCAAGUUAUUGAACCAUUGAUUUCCAAAUUUUUUAAUUAGAUUCUGUUUGUGUUUGGAUUGAUCUGUAAGUCUGAAUUUGUUUGUGUUUGAUUUGCGUUAGAUUACGUGUUACAUUUGAUUUCAAUUUUUCAGAUUUUGUGUUCAUUGAUUUCAAUUUUUUUUUUAGAACCCAAAACGGUUGCUUGUGUCAUUGAUCCCUGGCAUUUUAUCGAUUUCUUCUAUUUCUCAUCUCGUUUUCGCCUCGUUGUUUCGUUGCUUGUUCCCCUAUAGUUUUAUUUGAUUUCGUUGGAAACUCCCUAUCAGUCUGCUAGUUUCUUUAAUCCUACUCGGUCGUUCUUUUCCAAUAGUUCAUUUGAGUGCGAUUAAAAUCUGUUUUGGGUUUACAGAUUACCUGUUAGUUUUGUUUGAGUUUACAAUAUUUUUUUUUUUAAUUUUCUCAUUUGAUUUAAUCUGUUUACAGAUUUGUUUUGCAUUUGAUUUCUGCGUUUUUAUCUGUUAGUAUUUUACUGAUAUUUUUUUUGCUGACAUCGAUUUGGUAUUUUCUUCUUCUUUAUUUGCCUGUUAGUAUUUGGUAUUUGGUAUUUUACUGUUAGUAUUCUUCUUCUUCUUAAAUUUUAGUUUUUUUUUUUUUAAUUUUUUUUUUCUUUCUUUAAAUUUUGUCAUAGAUCUGUCGAUCUGUCAUCGAUCUGACAUUUUCUGUUUUUGGUUUAUGUUUUUUGUUGUUGUUGUUUGGUAAUUGAUUUCAUUGAUUUCAUCAAAUUUGUUGUUGUUUUUAGUUGUUUGUUUUUGCUGGUUAUUAAAUUUAAUACUGAAUAAUUGCAUGCACAUAACUACAUUUUGUUUGCUUGUGUUGCAUACUAAUAAAUUGUUUUUUUUUGUUUUUGUUGUUUGGUAAUUGAUUUCAUUGAUUUCAUCAAAUUUGUUGUUGUUUUUAGUUGUUUGUUUUUGCUGGUUAUUAAAUUUAAUACUGAAUAAUUGCAUGCUAAAUCACAUAUGAAUUUAUCAGAUUGCAUGCUAAUAAAAAUAAUAAUAAUAAAUAAAUAAACAAAUAUCUGAUUGUGUAGUUUCUACCCACUUGAAAGUAGAUCAUAACUACAUUUUCUACUCAAUCGAUCGAUUGUGUAGUUUAUAGUUUGCUUGUAGUUGUAAAUUACAAUUGCCCAAGUGGUUAAUUGUUAUUUUGUUUGUGACGCAAGGAGCUGGUUUUUUUUUCUGGAUCUGCGAAUCAGCUUCUGUAAUCAUUGUUUUCCGUUGAGUGGCGAUUUCCAUCUUGAGCUAUGGCAGGAAUUGGAUCAUGUACAUCUGGUGCUGGAAGUGCAGCUGUGACAGCAAGGAUCGAAGUUCCUCAAAUGAUGUAUAGUAUUGCGUCACUCUGUCCCACACCUCUUUCAGAAGGGAAUUAUCUAGUAUGGAAAAAUCAAUUUGAAGGUGCAUUACAAAUACAUAAUUUGUUAGAUUUUGUUUCUGGAAAACUUGGGACUCCGGCUCUAAGAUUAAGUGAUGGUUCUGAAAAUCCGGCAUAUGCGUCUCACAAGAGGAACGAUGGCAUAGUGCUCAGCUGGAUUAAAGCCACGGUAUGUAAGGAAAUUCAGCCUCUACUUUUACCUUGUGUUACUGCAUAUGAGGCAUGGCAUAUUUUAGAAACAGAUAUUUCGCCUAUUGAUAGAAAUCAAAUUCAAGCUCUUCGUGAUGAGUUGAAUUCACUAAGGAAGACAACAGAUAUUUCAAUGAAAGAAUAUAUUUUCAAGAUUAAGAGUUUGAAACACUCUCUAGCAGCAGCAGGAUAUUCAAUGUCUGAUGAAAGAGUGUCAGAGUAUGUUCUCAGAGGUCUUGGACCUGAAUUCCGUAUGUUUAGGACAUCUCUGAAUUUUCAGAAGGAUAUUACUUUUACAGAACUUGCAGAUGCUCUUAUUAAAGAAGAAAUUUUGAUGAAACAACUGGAUCAACCAACAACUGAAGGGGAUUAUCAGGUGCAUUAUUCCAAUUAUAAUAGGAAUAAUUUCAAUAGAAAUGCUAAAUUUCNNNNNNNNNNNNNNNNNNNNNNNNNNNNNNNNNNNNNNNNNNNNNNNNNNNNNNNNNNNNNNNNNNNNNNNNNNNNNNNNNNNNNNNNNNNNNNNNNNNNNNNNNNNCCCAUUCUGAAUCUACCAUCUUCACAGGACAACACAUCUGCGUGUCAGAUUUGUGAGAAAAAAGGACAUCUGGCUAGAAAUUGCCCAGAUAGAGGUAAUUUUGCUGCCUAUGCCAUGGAGGAUGAUUAUGAUACUCAGAUGACUGAAAAUGAAGAAGAAGCAGCAGCACAUUCUGUAACAGUCCAAGAUCUGGAUUGGUGUCUUGACUCAGGAGCUACUAAUCACAUGGUAGCUGAUGAAGCUUUGCUUCAUGACUGCCAGACCUAUACAGGUAUUGGGUGUGUUGUGAUUGGAUCUGGAGAUAGAUUAGUAAUUUCUAAAAUAGGAAAGUUAGACUUUGAAGUACAUUCAAAGGUUUAUACACUUAAUAGAGUUUUAUGUGUGCCUAAGAUUAAGAAAAAUCUAAUUUCUGUGACUAAACUAUGUAGUGAUUUGAACUGUUAUAUACAGAUUUCACAGAAGGAAUUUUCAGUGAAGAGCCUGAAGAUGCAUCAGACGCUUUUUUCUGGAAUUAAUAAAAGAGGGCUAUACUAUUUCAGCCCAGACAUCAACUGUAAUUUGGGUAUCAAGGUCUCUUCAGAUACAUGGCACAAGAGACUAGGACAUCCUUCUCUCAAAAUCAUGAAUAAAAUAGGACAUGUAUUAGGAUUAAACAAUUCAGAUUUAAAAUCUUUAGAAUCUUGUAAUAAUUGCCCUAUGGCAAAAAUGUCGAAAUUACCUUUUUCUUGUAAUGAAAUAAAAACUUCUUUUCCAUUGGAGAUAAUACAUAUAGAUCUAUGGGGUCCAGUCCCAAUUGUUUCAAUGAAAAAUUAUAAAUUUUUUGCAACAAUUGUAGAUAAUAAAACAAGGUAUACAUGGAUUAUACCAUUAAGGGCUAAAAGUGAUUUUACUGAUCAGUUUAUUCUAUUUCAGAAAAAUAUAGAAAACCAGUUAGGGCUAAAAAUUAAGAAAAUUUAUUCAGAUGAGGGUGGUGAAUUUCUUAGUACCAAGCUGAAAACUUGGCUAGGACAAAAAGGAAUAACACAUAGAUUCUCAUGUCCCUAUACACCUCAACAAAAUGGGAUUGUUGAGAGGAAACAUAGACACCUGCUUGAGACCAGCAGAUGUUUUUUUAUUCAAUCAGGAAUUCCAAAAAAUAUGUGGCCAGAGGUCAUCUCUGCAGCAUGUUUUCUGAUAAAUAGGUUACCUAGUUCUGUUUUAGGGUUCAUAUCUCCCUUUGAGAUGUUAACCAAAAAUAAACCAGAUUAUAAAAUACUGAAAUUAUUUGGUUGUUCAUGUUAUCCCUUAAUAAGUAAAGGAUUAAGGAAUAAAUUUGAACCUACUGCCUAUAAAUGUGUCUUUAUAGGGUAUUCAAACAAACACAAAGGAUAUAUGUGUUUAAAGUUAGAAGAUAAUAAAGUCAUUAUAUCUCGAAAUGUCAAAUUUAAUGAAAAUGAGUAUCCUUUUUUAACUAAAACAGAUACUAAAACAGUAAAGAAGCCUGAAAAGAAAAUGAUAAUACUUCCAAGACUAGCUACUACAAUAAAUUUUGGCUUUCCUAUAAAUACAGGAAACUCAAACAGUGAGUUAAGGGUAGAACCAGAGUCAAGUCCUGUAAGGAGAGUCACUCACUCACAACAGAACAACUCUACAAAUGACUCAAUGGAUAUAAUCUCAGAGUCAACUGAGAUAAGUAGCUUAGUACCCCAGACCAUGAGAGUUGAGUCUGAUAUGCAAUCUAACACUAGAAGUGAGACAAGACAACAAAGAGAUAUUUCUGAGAAUCAAAUAAACACAGUUUGUAACUCAAUACCACGAGAUAUAAGUAGUAGAUCUGAAGAACCAAUCAACAUAGGAGUUAGAUAUCCGACUAGAGAUAGAAAAGCACCAAAGUUUUUAGAAAAUUAUGAGUGUAAUUCUUGCUCUGGCGAAGAGAUAGAACCAUCCACCUUCAGUGAGGCAAGUAAAGAACCUAAGUGGAAUGAGGCAAUGCAAGAGGAACUAGAUGCAUUGAAAAUUAACAAAACAUGGACUUUAGUACCAAAAAAUUCGUCAAUGAAUAUAGUAGGUUGUAAGUGGGUCUAUAAAAUUAAAAAGAACUCAGAUGGUUCAAUAGAAAGGUACAAAGCUAGAUUAGUAGCUAAGGGCUACAAUCAGGAGGAAGGAGUGGACUAUACAGAGACUUACAGUCCAGUAAUUAGGAUGAACACAGUAAGAUCAAUCAUUUCAAUUGCUGUGACAUAUAACUGGCAGCUAAGACAACUGGAUAUCAAAAAUGCCUUCCUAAAUGGCUUUCUAAACGAAACAGUAUACAUGAGACAACCAACUGGGUUUCAUAAUAAGAGUUAUCCAGAUCAUGUGUGUCUAUUACAUAAGGCUCUAUAUGGCUUAAAACAAGCACCCAGAGCUUGGUACUCAAGACUUCAAAAUUUUCUAGUUGAAAAUGAAUUCAAAAAUAGUCUUACAGAUUCCUCAUUGUUCCUCAAAGUGAACAAUGGACAUAGAAUCUACAUACUAGUCUAUGUAGAUGAUAUUAUAAUUACUGGGGAUUCCAGUGAGGAAGUAAAUAGGUGCAUAGAAUUAAUAUGUAAACAAUUUUCAUGUAGAGACCUAGGGCUUCUUAACUAUUUUUUAGGAAUGGAAUGUAUAAGACAAGGGAAAACCUUAAUUCUAAGUCAAGAAAAAUAUGUGUAUGAUAUAUUGAAAAAAUUCAAUAUGAUGGAAUGCACACCAUGUAGGACACCAAUGGUUCAAAAUCCAAGACUAAAUAAAAAUUCAGGGACUCCUAUAGAAAACAAUACAAUAUACAGAAACAUUGUAGGGUCCUUACAAUAUCUAACUAUGACUAGACCUGAUAUUGUCUUUUGUGUGAAUCAUCUUAGUCAGUUUCUACAAACACCAACUGAUGUACAUCUUAGUUUUGCUAAGAGGAUGCUAAGAUAUAUCAAGGGAUCUUCUAACCUAGGACUGAGAUUUACACCUUCAGUCAAACUAGUAAAUUCUUUGAUAGCCUACUGUGAUUCAGACUGGGCAAGUGAUACUGAUGAUAGGAGAUCAGUGUCUGGAUUCAGCAUCUGGUUUGCUGGAAAUUUGGUAGCCUGGGCAUCAAAGAAACAGGCAGUGGUAUCAAAAUCGAGUUGUGAGGCUGAAUACAGGGCACUAUCUGGGAUAACUUCAGAAGUUAAGUGGUUCUGUAAUUUGUUUAGGGAACUGGAGAUUAGGUUUGAGACAGCUCCACAAAUAUUAUGUGAUAAUAAAUCAGCAAUUUUUCUCACUAAAAAUCCAUCAUCAAACCUGAAAACUAGACAUAUAGAUAUCUCACACCAUUUUAUUAGAGAGCUGGUGAUGAAAGGGGCAAUAAAAGUGGAUUAUAUUGCUGCUAGUCAACAACUAGCAGAUGGUUUCACUAAAGUACUGGGAACAGGGCAAUUUAUGGUUCAUAGGGAUAGACAUAAACUAGUACCAACCAGUCCUGAUCCUAGAAUCAUAAUGAAGGACAAGAAUAGGCUAACAAAAUCGCAAGACAUAAGUAAACCAAAGCUAAUUAAGGAGGCUUAGGAGAAUGACUAUAUAAGGGAGACUAUAAUACUGGAUAUUAGGUUAUAUAGAUAAUAAUAAUAAUAAUAAUGAUACUGAGGUGUUGUAUUUCUGAUUUCUGUUCUUAUAGUAAUACUUGUAUUCAUAUUAGGAAAUGUUACAUAAAUAUGAUGUUGAAAAUUGCAGGGUGAUAAUCUGAAAUAUAGUCUAAAAAUAUUUUGUCUGUUUGUUAAGGAAUGGUCUAUAUUUUUCUGGUUUGGUUUGUGGGAAUGGCUACUGUGGAUGUAUGUUUGUGUGGUUGCAGGUCAUACUAAGAUAGGUCAUGCCCAAAUAACUGGAAAUUUAAUCUGGAGCAGAAAAUGUGAAAUCUAGAGCAGCAGGAGCUUUGAGAAUGAGCAGCGAGUUUUUUUUUUUGUUCUUUCUUUCAGGGUCUUAAUUGGCAUAACAGGAGGGUUUUCCCAGUAAAAAUGAAAGAAAGAGGAGCAAAAAUAAGAAUCCCAGCUGGGUUUUUCGCCCCCCCUGUUAGUUCAAUUAAUUCAUAGCUGAGUUAGUUCACAAGGCUGCUAAGGAGGUGGACAGACAAGCUGAUGAUCAUACUCAUGUUCAAAUUCACAACUCAGGAUUGCAUUCUGGAGUUGUCAAUUUGCGGGGGAAUGUAAAGAGUUAAAAAUACUAUAAGGAGUAUUUUAUAAAUGUACCCAUAAUAUCAAUUAUAAGUAUAGGUUAAUAUGUAAUGAUAGAUUAAGUUGAAUGUUAUAAUCUUUGAGUGUCAAUUAAAGAGUUUACUCUUUCUUCUUCUUGUUUGACCUAACGACUUCAUUCUCCCCCUUUCUUCUAUCUUCUUCUUCUAUCAAUUUCUUGUUGAUGAUUCAUUGAGGAAACCUCUCCAGAUUUCUA
rnacentral:lncRNA from 1 species